rnacentral:rRNA from 1 species
GACGAACGCUGGCGGCGUGCUUAACACAUGCAAGUCGAACGGAAAGGCCCUGCUUUUGUGGGGUGCUCGAGUGGCGAACGGGUGAGUAACACGUGAGUAACCUGCCCUUGACUUUGGGAUAACUUCAGGAAACUGGGGCUAAUACCGGAUAGGAGCUCCUGCUGCAUGGUGGGGGUUGGAAAGUUUCGGCGGUUGGGGAUGGACUCGCGGCUUAUCAGCUUGUUGGUGUGGUAGUGGCUUACCAAGGCUUUGACGGGUAGCCGGCCUGAGAGGGUGACCGGCCACAUUGGGACUGAGAUACGGCCCAGACUCCUACGGGAGGCAGCAGUGGGGAAUAUUGCACAAUGGGCGGAAGCCUGAUGCAGCGACGCCGCGUGCGGGAUGACGGCCUUCGGGUUGUAAACCGCUUUCGCCUGUGACGAAGCGUGAGUGACGGUAAUGGGUAAAGAAGCACCGGCUAACUACGUG